rnacentral:rRNA from 1 species
GAUGAACGCUGGCGGCGUGCUUAACACAUGCAAGUCGAACGACGAACCUGGAGCUUGCUCUGGGGGAUUAGUGGCGAACGGGUGAGUAACACGUGAGCAACCUGCCCCCGACUCUGGGAUAAGCGCUGGAAACGGCGUCUAAUACUGGAUAUGUGACGUGACCGCAUGGUCUGCGUCUGGAAAGAUGUUUCGGUUGGGGAUGGGCUCGCGGCCUAUCAGCUUGUUGGUGAGGUAAUGGCUCACCAAGGCGUCGACGGGUAGCCGGCCUGAGAGGGUGACCGGCCACACUGGGACUGAGACACGGCCCAGACUCCUACGGGAGGCAGCAGUGGGGAAUAUUGCACAAUGGGCGGAAGCCUGAUGCAGCAACGCCGCGUGAGGGAUGACGGCCUUCGGGUUGUAAACCUCUUUUAGCAGGGAAGAAGCGAGAGUGACGGUACCUGCAGAAAAAGCGCCGGCUAACUACGUGCCAGCAGCCGCGGUAAAAC